ACGGACCUUAAGGAGAAAUGACCCAGGAGCACACAAUGACAAAAGGAAACCUGCCUCAUAAUCCAUAUUAACCCCAACACUCCCACAGUGCAUCUCUUCCUGGUACCCUCACUUUAAAUGAGUAUUUAAUUGAACUGUGGGAUUUCUAGCACAGCGAGGACCAAAGAGAUAGAGAUCUUUAAGCUACAGUCCCCAAAGGAACAAAUGAGAAUAGUAUUUCAUAGAUGAGAAAUCAU
rnacentral:lncRNA from 1 species